GACAUAGAAACUUACCUCAAGCUAAGCUCUCAAAGCCAGCACCCAAUCUAGGCUCAACUUAUAAGUUAGUCACUUCAACAAGAACCUCAGAAUCAGUACUAAU